ensembl:lncRNA
AUGUUACAGCUACUGAGUCACGUUUUUGGAUUCCAUGUGACUUCAGAGCCAAAAAGAAGAGAGACAUUGUUACUAUUAUGUUACACCUUAAAGAAAAGACAACAGAUAGAAACCUCCCUUCCCAGCCGCUCAGUAUUUACAGCAGCCAUUCUGAAGUCUUUUGGAAACACGCUCCAUGUGCAUCUUUGGCAUGACCUGACUGACAACCAGCCAGAAGAUCUGAGCCGGGGGAAAAUGCAUGGCUAUCAAGUCUUGGCACAGUGGUGGACAAGAGCACAGCGAAUACCAUGCAUUCAAGGAGGUCCUUGUGUGUUGGCUCGUCAGCUCACCAAAGGACACCGUAGACAGCAGAUGAAGAUGAUAUACUCCACAACCUCAGAGACUGAAACUCAGUUUUCAAAAAUUGGUUUUCCAGUGAUAAUUAAACAAUUGCCAAAGCCUCAGUUAGCUUAGUAAGCUAAACAGUGGGUCAUGUGUUAUAGGCUUUCGUUCAUUACUGCCCUAUACAGAACUUGAGAAAGACCCCCUCUGAUGGCUUACCUUUUCCCUGUGAAGCAGAAAGGGAGGCUGUCAGCUCAAAGUGAGGAUGGAAAUGGAAGAGUUAAAAAAAACAGAUCAUCCUAAACCAUGAAUUUUAAAAGUAUUUUAACAGUGAAUUCUUAAAAAAAAAAAUACAUGUAUCUGCAGUGGCAAUCUGAUUAGAGUAUCAGCAUUUGAAAUUAAUCCUUUAAUCUACUACUCUAACAUUUAAUUUUAAGCAACAUACAUAAGGUUUAAGUACUACAUAUUAGGUGAUAUCAAGAUACGUUAGCUUAUACCUAGAAAAGAUGAUCCAAAGAUUUCCAGAUUUACUGACAAAAGAACACAUUGGCAAGCACACAUACACACAGAAAAGAAAAGGUUUAACUCAGCCGGGCACAGUGGCUCAAGCAUGUAAUCCCAGUACUUUGGGAGGCCAAGGCGGGUGGAUCACGAGGUCAAGAGAUAGAGACCAUCCUGGUCAACAUGGUGAAACCCGUCUCUACUAAAAAAUACAAAAUAUUAGCUGGGCACAGUGGAGCAUGCCUGUAAUCCCAGCUACUCAGGAGGCUGAGAAUUGCCUGAACCCAGGAGGCAGAGGUUGCGGUGAGCCGAGAUCACACCAUUGCACUCCAGCCUGGGUAACAAGAGCAAAACUCCAUCUCAAAAAAAAAAAAAAAAGGUUUAACUCUCACUCUAACAAAACUCUUCAUCAGAAUCUGAGUAGCUUCAUUCAAUAAGUGAAUGGGUAUGAUAUCUGGCAUGUAAUUAAGCCUAUGACUAAACAAAUAAGGCAAUGAUUUGUAAAACUUUUUGAACCACAGAAAAGUUAAAGCUAAAAGCUAUUCCCAGAAAAAUAUACAUACACAUCAAAUUUUACAAAUAAUUUCAGAGCAUUCACAGACCUCCAUAAAAUCUAUUCCAUCAGUUAGCCUUUGCUGUGUAACAAACCACCACAAAUGUUAUGGUUUAAAAAACACUAUUUAUCUGAAAAUUUUAGGGGCCAACAAUUUAGGCUGGACCCAGCUGGGCAGCUCUUUGGGUCAUGUCUGUGUUCUCUCAUAACGUCUGUGGUGAGCCACAGAUCAAGUAGUUAGAUCUGCUUCUGAAUUUUGGCUCUAAGAGGCUAGAACACUUUGGCUAGCUCCACAUGGUCUGUGAUCUUCUAGCAAGUUGCCCAGAUUUAUUAUCAUGGUGGAGAUAGAUGCCUGAAAGAGAAUGAAAAUACACAAAGCCUCUUGAGGACUAAUACCAGAAUUGGUGCUACUGCCUAGUUCUUUUGACCAAAGCAUGUCACAAGUUAGGCCCACAUUCGAGGGGCUGGGAAAUAGACUCUACCUCUUACAUAAGGUGUUACAAAAUCAUAUCGCAAGAAACAUUAUUACAGGGAGGAAUAAAAAAUUAAGACCAAUUUUUCAACCAGUUUAUCAUACCUACCAUGAACCUAGGCUAAUAAUUUUCUACAAUGAAAAUGAAGUAAUAUGGUUUAAAAAAUAAACAGAAGUUUAUUUUUAUAAACAUACAAGUACAGAAAUGAAUUACUGUUUGCAUUUCAGAACAUGUUCUUGUACUGUCAAGUCUAGAACCAAUAGAUACAGGACUUCAAGACUUCCCAUGUGUCUCAUUUCUUUGUGAUCCUAUAGUAAGUAACACUAACAUUUCCUGCUAAACCAGAAUCCUAGAAAGAAGCAUUUUUACAAAAAUGAAGAAAACUUCAGGACAACAAAAAGUCUAAACAGGAAAUACUGAAUGUACAGUGUAUCCUGGUGUGUGAUGAUUUACCCAGUGAUUGAAAUAGCAUUAUCAAAAAUCAGCUGUUAGUAGAUUUGAGUACCUUCAUGUUUUCCUUCUGUGGAAAGAACAGAAAAGAAAAUAAUUGACUGUAGAAAUCUCAGUAAAUAAUUGGCAAUUGGUGACUGAAUUUAGGCAAAAUGUAUGUCCUUUAUUUGGGUACAUUUAGUUUACAUCACAUUUGGUAACUGACUUUGCCAUUACCAAAGAGUAUACAUGUCUAGUUAGAUUUUCUUUGAUACCCUAAUGCUGUAAUUUUUCUUACAUGCUUUUUGUUUUUAAUUACAAUAGAAUGGGUGCAAUGACUGAAUCCACAUGGAUGAAUCCUCCAUCUCACCCCAACUCCCUCCCUACAAUCCUCUAUUGGUUUCCUACUGCUGCAUAACAAAUUGCCACAAAUUAAGUAGCUUAACACAAAAUCAAUUUGUUAUCUUAUAGUUCUGGAGGCCAGACAUCUGAAAUGAGUCUCACUAGGCUAAACUCAGUGUGUCAACGGGCUGCAUUCCUUUCUGGAGGCUCUAAGGAGCCUCCAUUUUCCUGCCUUUUUUCAGCUCCUGUAGGCUGCCUGUAUUUUUUAGCUCAUGUCCUCCCACUUCCACUUUAAAGAACUCUUGUGAUUGCAUUGGAUUCACUCAGAUAAUCUAGGAUAAUUUCCCCAUUUUAAGGUCAGAUAAUUGCAAACCUUAAUUCUAUCUUCUACCUUAAUUACCCUUUGCCACGCAAAUGCAUAUUCACAAGUUCCAAGGAUUAGGACACGGACAUCUUUGGGAGCCAUAAUUGUGCCUACCACAAACCCAAGCCCAUAUCACCUCAUUUCUCAGGCUACUUUAAAUAUUGAUGCCUAGUGAUGUGAACCAAUUCUUCCCAAGAGAGGCUUUGUAGUACAUGUCUACAUUAAGAGGAGGUUCUUUAAGAAGCCAAAUGGCAUCUUCCCAAUGCAAACUCUAGAAAUGCUAACUAUAUUGCCACUGAAAUGUAAAAGAAUGUAUCAUGGUUUUAUCAGCCAUAAGCAGGGGCACUUGAAAGAGUAGAUUUCAGAUUCGUUAUAUACUAUGGAUUAAAUGCAUCAUGCUUGAUUAUUGAUAAGCUGCUUGAUUUAUCAUAAACCUUCUGCAAGUCUCCUGCUUAUUUUUACCACUUUAUUUGCAAAAUGUUCAUAAUCAUUGCUUCUUAUUUUGAGUUAGGGAUCAAUGUCAUGAGUUAAUUUUUUAAACUGCUAAAUGAAGAUAACAAGAUUAGUCUUUGAUCUCAACUUAAACUCGUAUAAAAAUGAUUCUGCCCAUCUACAAACAAACAUGAGGCUUACUCAAAUCCUGUGAUUUAAUUCUUUUUUUUUUUUUUUGAGAUGGAGUUUCACUCCUGUUACCCAGGCUGGAGUGCAAUGGCACCAUCUCGGCUCACCACAACCUCCGCCUCCUGGGUUCUAGCAAUUAUCCUGCCUCAGCCUCCUGAGUAGCGGGGAUUACAGGCACACGCCACCAUGCCCAGCUAAUUUUUGUAUUUUUAGUAGAGACAGGGUUUUACCUUGUUGGCCAGGAUAAUCUCGAUCUCUUGACCUCGUGAUUCACCCGCCUCGGCCUCCCAAAGUGCUGGGAUUACAGGCAUGAGCCACUGCGCCCGGCCGAUUUAAUUCUUUACUUCCAGAGAACAAGCAUGGUCUAGUUCAGUGUAUAAUGAAAUAUGACAGGUGGAAGGCAGCAAUUCUAAACCAGAGAAAAAUAAUAACUAACUAGAAAAGACAAAAAGAGGAAAGAAAAAAGACCUGGGAAGAAAGGAGAGAGUAACUAUUGCAAUAAAAUGGGAGAGAGCAUUAAUUUCCUUGGGGAUUAAACAGUGGUUAAAUAGUAGCUUCCUUCCUUUUUACUUAAUAUGACUUAAUUUAAAAUAUUGAUAUAAAAUGCACAAUGUUAUACUUGAAAGCAUAAGGAAAUAUGAGAAUAAAUAAAUGCUGACUUGGAAGUUGGAUUAUUAUAUGAGGCAGCAGCUCUUUUUGCUAUGUAUUCCAUUUAUAAAACUAUAUUUUUCUCCACUAAGAAAUGUUCACUCAAAACCUGAUGUGGAAUGUGUAGAUAUUCCCAUACCAGUAGAAAUUUGGGAGGAAGAAUUAUAGUCGUGUAUAAUUAUACUUAUUAGCUCAGUAUUUAUUUAGUUAAUGAACACUAAGUAUAUUCAGAUAAAUCUCGGUGUAUUAAUCAGGGUUCCCUAGAGGGACAGAACUAAUAGGAUAUGUAUAUAUAUCCUAUUUGUGUAUAUAUGCAUAUAUAUAUAUACAUAUAUGUAUAUAUGCAUAUAUAUAUAUACAUAUAUGUAUAUAUAUCCUAUUUGUGUAUAUAUGCAUACAAAUAGAAUAUAUAUAUAUAUUUAUAUAUAUCCUAUAUACAUAUAUAAAUGCUAAUAGGAUAUAUAUAUCCCAUUUGUGUGUG